rnacentral:rRNA from 1 species
AUUGAACGCUGGCGGCAGGCUUAACACAUGCAAGUCGAGCGGAGAUGAGGUGCUUGCACCUUAUCUUAGCGGCGGACGGGUGAGUAAUGCUUAGGAAUCUGCCAUUUAGUGGGGGACAACAUUCCGAAAGGAAUGCUAAUACCGCAUACGUCCUACGGGAGAAAGCAGGGGAUCUUCGGACCUUGCGCUAAAUGUUGAGCCUAAGUCGGAUUAGCUAGUUGGUGGGGUAAAGGCCUACCAAGGCGACGAUCUGUAGCGGGUCUGAGAGGAUGAUCCGCCACACUGGGACUGAGACACGGCCCAGACUCCUACGGGAGGCAGCAGUGGGGAAUAUUGGACAAUGGGCGGAAGCCUGAUCCAGCCAUGCCGCGUGUGUGAAGAAGGCCUUUUGGUUGUAAAGCACUUUAAGCGAGGAGGAGGCUACUAGUACUAAUACUACUGGAUAGUGGACGUUACUCGCAGAAUAAGCACCGGCUAACUCUGUGCCAGCAGCCGCCGUAAGAC